GCGGGUAUAGUUUAGUGGUAAAACGAAAGCCUCCCAUGCUUUAGUUGGGGGUUCGAUUCCCCCUACCCGCU
rnacentral:tRNA from 19 species